rnacentral:lncRNA from 1 species
GGGGUUUGGUGACCUGUGAUGGGGCCCCCACGAGCCUUCCUGGAAUCUCGAGUGACCCCAGCAUAGGAAGAGUAAGCACACAGGCAACAUGUCAAACAUCUACGUUUCAGAAAGAUAUUAUGAAGUCACUCUGGAUUCUGCAGCCUCCAGACUUAGAACCCUAGGUGGCCAUGAAAUUGUGAUCCUCCUGCCUCAGUUUCCCAAGAGCUGGGAUUACAGAAAUAAAAAUGGCUGGCUCCAAUUGUUAUGCUCCAGCAGCAUCACGUGGUAUUGAUAACUCCCCCCUCUCCCCUCCGCCCACCAUGGCUACUCCUGUGUUGUCCAGACAGAACCUAGUGAUGUCUCCUUUCUUUCUAGAAGCAGGAAAUUAGAAAUCUUUUAAGCGUAGGGGGAAAUACAGACAUAGGAAGAAAAGGUUCCAGGCACCAGGAAUCUCCAGGGAGCACAGACCUUAGCAUGAAACGUUUCUGUGGGAAAUGCUAUGACCUCAGCCCUGUCCCUUGACCACAAACUGAGGAGCAAACCCCACCUUGAGGCAGAUGGCCUGGCUUCUCCCUGUCUGUACUGGCUGGCUUUGUGUGUCCACUUGACACAAGCUAGAGUCACCAGAGAGGAAGGAGCCUCAGCUGAGGAAAUGUCUCCACGAGAUCCAGCUGUAAGGCACUUUCUCAAUUAGUGAUCAAGGGGGCAGGGCUCAGCCCAAGGUGGGUGGUGCCAUCCCUGGGCUAGUGGUCCUGGGUUCUAUAAGAAGGCUGACUGAGCAAGCCAGGGGAAGCAAGUGAGGAAGCAGUACCUCUCCAUGGUCUCUGCCUCCAGGUUCCUGCCCUGCUUGAGUUUCUGUCUUGACUUCCUUCAGUGAUGAACAGCAAUGUGGAAGACUAUAAGCUGAAUAAACCCUUUCCUCUCCA